rnacentral:rRNA from 1 species
UGUGAUGACGGUAGGCGAGGAAUAAGCCCCGUCCAAUUACGUGCCAGCAGCCGCGGUAACACGUAUGGGGCGAUCGUUGUUCGGAAUCAUUGGGCGUAAAGGGCGUGUAGGCGGCGAGGUAAGCCUGGUGUGAAANCCCGCAGCUUAACUGNGGAGGCGCGCUAGGAACUNCUUUGCUUGAGUUCAGGAGGGGGAGCUGNAAUUCCAGGUGUAGGGGUGAAAUCUGUAGAUAUCUGGAAGAACACCGGCGGCGAAGGCGANCUCCUGCCCAUGAACUGACGCUGAGGCGCGAAAGCGUGGGGAGCGAACAGGAUUAGAUACCCUGGUAGUCCACGCUGUAAACGAUGUGCAC